UCAUUAUGUCGCUUGGGAAAUUUUCAUUGCUUUAAAGGGAUUUUACUGCUUGACUUCAACCCAAGUAAGAGGUUGCUCCCCUGGUCAAUAACUCCCGAACAAACAUACUUUUCUUCUUUGUUAAUUAGUCAUGUUAUCUAUUAUGAGAGGCCGAGUGAUUAAUAUGUUCCCUCGUUCCUUGUCAUCGGUAUUUAAAACCCCUGGUAAGACUUUCAGCACAUGUACUUCUCGCUGUCAAGUACACACAAAUAAACAUGAUUUUUCAUUAAUCAUCCGAAUCUAAGGCCAGCUCUUGCAGCUCCUCCGUGAAGCUGAAGUUCUGGGUUCUUGAUCGAAUUUUGUUUGAUACAGUCUCGAACUGUCAAGAAGAUUCUCAGAUGCAUUUUGGUUCAUCUUCUUGGACAGGUUCACACUAGCAGUUGCGUCGUCCUCGUGCACAGAGGACGGAAAUUGACCAAGCUUAUUACACUAACAGUAAUUUUUCGAAUUCAUGAGAAUUAACAGCUUGCUAGUUGCAUUUUCUUUGUUUGGAUCAAUUUGGCAACUUGACGUAGACGUCGAGGCAUAUUGCUGUGCAAUUUCUGACCUUUUGGAUUCGUUGGCAAGCAUGUUCAUCUGCUCGGCUGCAUUAAAGGUGGCUGUACUGGAGAAGUUAUUGGUUCCCUUGGAGGCAUCCUCAUGGCUUAACUGGGAAGCAACAAAUUUGUCAAGGACUCGCCAAUCAGUCACUUGGUCUACAGCUUGCUCACUAUUAUUGUUAUUGUGAAGUGAGUUUAAAUUUUGUUGAUGACAUUGCUGCAUUUUUUCUUCUUGUGUAAGGGUAGAUGACUGCAAGGUGUUCCCAUUGGUCCUGUCAAAACCAUAUGCAAUAACUGAAUUACAACUCGCAGUUGCUGCUGAUUGUGGAACUUUUGGGCUUUCUAAUUGAGGAAGCUGGAGGAAAGGGUCAUGAGGCAUAUUGUAUUGCAACUCAAGUUCUUGCUUGCAAUGAUAGUGAUGAUGGUAUGGUGCGUAAGGUUGAGAUAUUCGCCUUGGAGAAUCAAUUUCUGGCAUGAAUGAAACCUGGUCAUCAUACCAACAUGGUUGAAGGGCUGGAACUGUCAGUUAUUCUACUCGAUACAGAAUCUGAAGUUGUUCUGUACAGGGUCUUUGUAUCUAAUUCAUGUGCCAAAAAUCUCCCCACCACACACCUCAAUUUUAAGUACUACAGCUAGCAUCUAUCCUAUACAUUCUACAGUUUACAUCAUUAGUACAUAAGAAUUAGAACCAUCAUAAUUAAUUAGUAAUUGGAAAUUAAAAAAAAUAACGAUUAUAUAUGCAUAAGCGAGGUCCCAAGUUAUCACUUAAUUUCUUUCGGCAUGCCUUUUGGCAAUCAAACUAGUGCUAAAUAGAAGGAACGAGCUCUCGAGAGUGCCCCUUUCAGUAUGCAUACAGAGUUCUUCCCAAGUCAAUUAUAUAUAUGGUGGACAACAAGGAUAAAAUAGCAUAGCACAUUGGCCUAUAUGAAGAAUUUUGUUAAGUAGCAAAAAUUAAAAAUAACUUGCCUGGGGGAUUCCAUUUUCAUUUGUUUCUAGUCGAUAUUCAUGCAUGAUCCAAUCUGACUUUUGUCCAUUUGGAGCUCGUCCUUUGUAAAACACUAGGGUUUUUCUCAUGCCAACCAAGCUAUGCCUAGAGUAGAUAGCCUUGUCUCUUCCAGUAGCUUUCCAAAACCCAGCUUUUGUCGCUCUAUUAGUGCGAGUUCCAGUAGGAUACUUCUUAUCUUUAUGGCUGAAGAA